AGUGAACGCUGGCGGUAGGCCUAACACAUGCAAGUCGAACGGCAGCACAGGAGAGCUUGCUCUCUGGGUGGCGAGUGGCGGACGGGUGAGGAAUACAUCGGAAUCUGCCCAGUCGUGGGGGAUAACGUAGGGAAACUUACGCUAAUACCGCAUACGACCUUCGGGUGAAAGGGGGGGAUCGCAAGACCUCUCGCGAUUGGAUGAGCCGAUGUCGGAUUAGCUAGUUGGCGGGGUAAUGGCCCACCAAGGCGACGAUCCGUAGCUGGUCUGAGAGGAUGAUCAGCCACACUGGAACUGAGACACGGUCCAGACUCCUACGGGAGGCAGCAGUGGGGAAUAUUGGACAAUGGGCGCAAGCCUGAUCCAGCCAUACCGCGUGGGUGAAGAAGGCCUUCGGGUUGUAAAGCCCCUUUGUUGGGAAAGAAAUCUUUCAGGCUAAUACCCUGGGAGGAUGACGGUACCCAAAGAAUAAGCACCGGCUAACUUCGUG
rnacentral:rRNA from 1 species